rnacentral:tRNA from 1 species
GCCAUGUUAGCUCAGUGGUUAAGAGCUACAGCUUUUAACCAGGAGUUUGGUGGUUCAAAUCCACCAGGCA